AUGCUGAGGUAUGAUAUAAAAGAUGCAAUUACAAACCCAACAACAAUGACCAUUUUCAAAAAGUGCAUGGAUCACCUGCUUAUCACUUGUAUCAAUUUUGAUUUGCCUCGAGUGAUUCAAGGUGCACCAACUCAUCCAGUUGUAUGUCACAAUUGGGUAGAUGAAGGAUGUGAAGUUUUUAAGAAAUUGUCACAAAGCUCUGCCAAAACACGGGAAGGUGAUUGUUUUGGAUUAUAUAAUUCUAGUGGUUCCAAACCCGAGCAAUUUCUCUAA